CAGUCGCCACGGUAAUACAGAGGGUGCGAGCGUUAAUCGGAUUUACUGGGCGUAAAGCGUGCGUAGGCGGCUUCUUAAGUCGGAUGUGAAAUCCCUGAGCUUAACUUAGGAAUUGCAUUCGAUACUGGGAAGCUAGAGUAUGGGAGAGGAUAGUAGAAUUCCAGGUGUAGCGGUGAAAUGCGUAGAGAUCUGGAGGAAUACCGAUGGCGAAGGCAGCCAUCUGGCCUAAUACUGACGCUGAGGUACAAAAGCAUGGGGAGCAAACAGGAUUAGAUACCCCCGUAGUCCCUGUCUCUUAUAC
rnacentral:rRNA from 1 species